ensembl:snRNA LOC120099527 U6atac minor spliceosomal RNA
AUACUGUAGGAACGGAGAGGUUAGCAACGCCUCUGACAAAGAUGGAAGAGGGUUACAGACCAGCAAGAUACAUGUGGUUUAGACCUGUUCACCUACUUUUGUAUUGCAAAUUACUGUUCUCA